rnacentral:rRNA from 1 species
GUUGUAUGGUUAAGUGACUAAGCGUACAUGGUGGAUGCCUUGGCAGUCAGAGGCGAUGAAGGACGUACUAACCUGCGAUAAGCCGUGAGCAGUCGGUAAGAGACAUUACGACUCACGGAUUUCCGAAUGGGGAAACCCACUUAGCAUAAGCUAGGUAUCGCUACGUGAAUACAUAGCGUAGCGAGGCGAACCGGGAGAACUGAAACAUCUAAGUACCCCGAGGAAAAGAAAUCAACCGAGAUUCCCUCAGUAGCGGCGAGCGAACGGGGAUUAGCCCUUAAGCAUCUUGGAAGUUAGUGGAACGGUCCUGGAAAGGCCGGCGAUACAGGGUGAUAGCCCCGUACACGAAAACAACCUUGAUGUGAAAUCGAGUAGGGCGGGACACGUGACAUCCUGUCUGAAUAUGGGGGACCAUCCUCCAAGGCUAAAUACUCCUGACUGACCGAUAGUGAACCAGUACCGUGAGGGAAAGGCGAAAAGAACCCCUGUGAGGGGAGUGAAAUAGAACCUGAAACCGUGUACGUACAAGCAGUGGGAGCCCUUCGGGGUGACUGCGUACCUUUUGUAUAAUGGGUCAGCGACUUACAUUUUGUAGCGAGGUUAACCGUAUAGGGGAGCCGUAGGGAAACCGAGUCUUAACUGGGCGUCUAGUUGCAAGGUGUAGACCCGAAACCGGGUGAUCUAGCCAUGGGCAGGUUGAAGGUUGAGUAACAUCAACUGGAGGACCGAACCCACUAACGUUGCAAAGUUAGGGGAUGACCUGUGGCUGGGGGUGAAAGGCCAAUCAAACUCGGAGAUAGCUGGUUCUCCCCGAAAGCUAUUUAGGUAGCGCCUCGGACGAAUACUACUGGGGGUAGAGCACUGUUUGGGCUAGGGGGUCAUCCCGACUUACCAACCCCAUGCAAACUCCGAAUACCAGUAAGUAAUAUCCGGGAGACACACGGCGGGUGCUAACGUCCGUCGUGAAGAGGGAAACAACCCAGACCGCCGGCUAAGGUCCCAAAGUUCUGGUUAAGUGGGAAACGAUGUGGGAAGGCUCAGACAGCUAGGAUGUUGGCUUAGAAGCAGCCAUCAUUUAAAGAAAGCGUAAUAGCUCACUAGUCGAGUCGGCCUGCGCGGAAGAUGUAACGGGGCUCAAACCAGGCACCGAAGCCGCGGAUUCACACUAAGUGUGAGUGGUAGGGGAGCGUUCUGUAAGUCUGCGAAGGUGUGUCGAGAGGCAUGCUGGAGAUAUCAGAAGUGCGAAUGCUGACGUAAGUAACGAUAAAGGGGGUGAAAAGCCUCCUCGCCGGAAGACCAAGGGUUCCUGUCCAACGUUAAUCGGGGCAGGGUGAGUCGACCCCUAAGGCGAGGCCGAAAGGCGUAGUCGAUGGGAAGCAGGUUAAUAUUCCUGCACGACUUGUAAUUGCGAUGGGGGACGGAGAAGGCUAGGUGGGCCAGGCGACGGUUGUCCUGGUGAAAGUGCGUAGGUGGUGUUUCUAGGCAAAUCCGGAGACACAACACUGAGAUACGAGACGAACACACUACGGUGUGGAAGCCAUUGAUGCCCUGCUUCCAGGAAAAGCCUCUAAGCUUCAGAUUACAAGUCAUCGUACCCCAAACCGACACAGGUGGUCGGGUAGAGAAUACCAAGGCGCUUGAGAGAACUCGGGUGAAGGAACUAGGCAAAAUAGAACCGUAACUUCGGGAGAAGGUUCGCUCUUGACAGUGAAGUCCCUUGCGGAUGGAGCAGUUGGGAGUCGCAGUGACCAGAUGGCUGGGACUGUUUAUCAAAAACACAGCACUCUGCAAACACGAAAGUGGACGUAUAGGGUGUGACACCUGCCCGGUGCCGGAAGGUUAAUUGAUGGGGUUAGCGCAAGCGAAGCUCUUGAUCGAAGCCCCGGUAAACGGCGGCCGUAACUAUAACGGUCCUAAGGUAGCGAAAUUCCUUGUCGGGUAAGUUCCGACCUGCACGAAUGGUGUAACCAUGGCCAUGCUGUCUCCACCCGAGACUCAGUGAAAUCGAAUUCGCCGUGAAGAUGCGGUGUACCCGCGGCUAGACGGAAAGACCCCGUGAACCUUUACUACAGCUUGGCACUGAACAUUGAACCUACAUGUGUAGGAUAGGUGGGAGGCUUUGAAGGCGUGACGCCAGUUGCGCUGGAGCCGUCCUUGAAAUACCACCCUUGUAUGUUUGAUGUUCUAACGCAGGCCCGUGAAUCCGGGUCGCGGACAGUGCCUGGUGGGUAGUUUGACUGGGGCGGUCUCCUCCCAAAGAGUAACGGAGGAGCACGAAGGUUGGCUAAUCCUGGUCGGACAUCAGGAGGUUAGUGCAAUGGCAUAAGCCAGCUUAACUGCGAGACGGACAGGUCGAGCAGGUACGAAAGUAGGUCAUAGUGAUCCGGUGGUUCUGAAUGGAAGGGCCAUCGCUCAACGGAUAAAAGGUACUCCGGGGAUAACAGGCUGAUACCGCCCAAGAGUUCAUAUCGACGGCGGUGUUUGGCACCUCGAUGUCGGCUCAUCACAUCCUGGGGCUGAAGUCGGUCCCAAGGGUAUGGCUGUUCGCCAUUUAAAGUGGUACGCGAGCUGGGUUCAGAACGUCGUGAGACAGUUCGGUCCCUAUCUGCCGUGGGCGUUGGAUGAUUGAAGGGAGUUGCUCCUAGUACGAGAGGACCGGAGUGAACGAACCUCUGGUGUUCGGGUUGUCACGCCAGUGGCACUGCCCGGUAGCUAAGUUCGGAAUCGAUAACCGCUGAAAGCAUCUAAGCGGGAAGCGAGCCCUGAGAUGAGUCAUCCCUGACCCCUUGAGGGUCCUAAAGGGCCGUUGGAGACCACAACGUUGAUAGGUGGGGUGUGUAAGCGCGGCGACGUGUUGAGCUAACCCAUACUAAUUACCCGUGAGGCUUAACCAUACAACACCCAAGAAGUGUU